rnacentral:rRNA from 1 species
AUUGAACGCUGGCGGCAGGCCUAACACAUGCAAGUCGAACGGUAGCACAGAGAGCUUGCUCUCGGGUGACGAGUGGCGGACGGGUGAGUAAUGUCUGGGAAACUGCCCGAUGGAGGGGGAUAACUACUGGAAACGGUAGCUAAUACCGCAUAACGUCGCAAGACCAAAGUGGGGGACCUUCGGGCCUCACACCAUCGGAUGUGCCCAGAUGGGAUUAGCUAGUAGGUGGGGUAAUGGCUCACCUAGGCGACGAUCCCUAGCUGGUCUGAGAGGAUGACCAGCCACACUGGAACUGAGACACGGUCCAGACUCCUACGGGAGGCAGCAGUGGGGAAUAUUGCACAAUGGGCGCAAGCCUGAUGCAGCCAUGCCGCGUGUAUGAAGAAGGCCUUCGGGUUGUAAAGUACUUUCAGCGGGGAGGAAGGCGGUGGAGUUAAUAACUUCACCGAUUGACGUUACCCGCAGAAGAAGCACCGGCUAACUCCGUGCCAGCAGCCGCAUAA